UACAGAGGUCUCAAGCGUUGUUCGGAUUCAUUGGGCGUAAAGGGUGCGUAGGCGGCAUGGUCAGUCGGAUGUGAAAUCCCGGGGCUCAACCCCGGAACUGCAUUCGAUACUGCCGCGCUAGAGUACUGGAGAGGAGAUUGGAAUUUACGGUGUAGCAGUGAAAUGCGUAGAUAUCGUAAGGAAGACCAGUGGCGAAGGCGGAUCUCUGGACAGUUACUGACACUGAGGCACGAAGGCCAGGGGAGCAAACGGG
rnacentral:rRNA from 1 species